ACGCACGCUGGCGGCGUGCCUAAUACAUGCAAGUCGAGCGAAGUUUUUCUGGUGCUUGCACCGGAAAAACUUAGCGGCGAACGGGUGAGUAACACGUAAAGAACCUGCCUCAUAGACUGGGACAACUAUUGGAAACGAUAGCUAAUACCGGAUAACAGCAUUAACUGCAUGGUUGAUGUUUAAAAGUUGGUUUUGCUAACACUAUGAGAUGGCUUUGCGGUGCAUUAGCUAGUUGGUGGGGUAAAGGCCUACCAAGGCGACGAUGCAUAGCCGACCUGAGAGGGUGAUCGGCCACACUGGGACUGAGACACGGCCCAGACUCCUACGGGAGGCAGCAGUAGGGAAUCUUCCGCAAUGGGCGAAAGCCUGACGGAGCAACGCCGCGUGAGUGAAGAAGGAUUUCGGUUCGUAAAGCUCUGUUGUUAGGGAAGAAUGAUUGUGUAGUAACUAUACACAGUAGAGACGGUACCUAACCAGAAAGCCACGGCUAACUACGUG
rnacentral:rRNA from 1 species